rnacentral:tRNA from 1 species
GUUGUAGCUCAGUGGAAGAGCACUUGUGUCACACAUAUGAGGUCCUGGGUUCGAUCCUCAUAAAAUAAUA